rnacentral:tRNA from 2 species
UGCCGAGUGGACGAAUAGCAAGUCGCCUGACUCUGAAUCAGGAGGUUGUAGGUGCGAAUCCUACCUCGGCAU